rnacentral:sRNA from 2 species
AUAACACUCUUUGCCUUCUCUCUUUUCUUUUCCUCUAUUGUACUCUCUCUCUAUCUUACUCUCAUAUUCUUAUUUAUCUUCUUUAAUAUCUCUGUCUAUUCUUUUUCAUUUAUCUAAAUUGAUAUUUCUUUUCCUUCUCUCUUUUACUCACUGUACUGAAGCUAUAUCAAAUUAUAUAAUCUUGCAAUGUCACAGAUGACAUCAUCUCUUCUCUACUUUAUCUUGAUUUUUCUCUUUUCUAUACUGCUUCUAUUUCUUUAUAAAAUAAUGAAGAAAACUGUCUUUUGAUGAACUGAGAGAAUACUCUCUCUACUUUCUGUAAAGUCUUUCAGACACAGCAGCAGUGAUCUCUAUCAGAGAAUCACAUUAUAGCUCUAUUAUAAAUAAUUAUAUAUC